rnacentral:rRNA from 1 species
UACGGAGGGAGCUAGCGUUGUUCGGAAUCACUGGGCGUAAAGCGCACGUAGGCGGCUACUCAAGUCGGGGGUGAAAGCCCGGGGCUCAACCCCGGAACUGCCCUCGAAACUAGGUAGCUAGAAUCUUGGAGAGGCGAGUGGAAUUCCGAGUGUAGAGGUGAAAUUCGUAGAUAUUCGGAAGAACACCAGUGGCGAAGGCGACUCGCUGGACAAGUAUUGACGCUGAGGUGCGAAAGCGUGGGGAG